rnacentral:lncRNA from 1 species
CUCCCUCCUCUCGGGAUCCAGCCAGGCGGCGAGACACCUCCGCCACAGCCAGGAUGCGCCCCGCGCCGGGUCACCGCGGCGGAGAACGUCCAGCACUUCGCACCCCGGGGACCCCUCGGGAAGAACUCAGCUGGACCCGCACCGUGACCGCGGCGAGCGCGCCCCACGCCGCCGCCCGCUGCUCCGGGUCUUCCGUCGCCCCAGCCUCUCCGCUCGCAGUGUGACUGCAGCUCGCCAUUCUCCUCUCUGAGCUCGGGGAUGACCAGAAGAACACCACCUGCAGGCUGACGGUCAGGAUGAAGUAAAAGAACCCACUAGAAAAACACUCUCCCAAUGGCAGGGAUUCAUAACUUAACCUGUCAAAGUGCUGGACAAAUCCGAGGAGGAGUGGCGCAGCCCCCUCCGCUGCCCCGCUGCGUCCUCCCCGGCCCCCCGGCUCCCAGGAUGGCCUGUCAGGAACGGAGCGUCCACCAGGCAGAGGCAGCGUGCCCUCGCACAGAACGGUCUCUGCAGCGGAGGAGGAGCCUGCAGCGUUCCUCCACAGACAGCACCUUCCCCCGCCCCAUCUUGGGCUCAGAGGACACACAGCCCUUGUAGGCCUGCGAGUGGAUGCUGACCGACUCCGCGUUUCAUCUCAGAAAGGCGAGAUGGAAAGCACAGCCCUAUCAUCUGAGGCUCACCAACGCUUGCCGAACGGAUGGAUAAGAGAUCAGAUGCAGCCGCCACGUCAUGGACCACUGAGCUAUUGCAAGCAGAAGGGAGCGCCACGGUUCACACCUGCGGGCCUGCGUUCACCGCCUUAUCUCAGUUCACAGCAAACAUCAGCGAUCACCUACCUUGUCUCAGAGCUCACAUCUGAGGGCACAGGAGGGCCUAUGGGGCAGCGAGGCCAAAUAUCUAUAAUUUGACUUCGUUGUGAACUUUCCCACUCCUACCUUCUAUCUGAGGAGUGAUUAUGCUGGAAGGUAACCAGUUAUGCAGUCAGUAGUUGUAAAAUAAAAAUGAAAUUGGCUCUCUGUAUUUAGUUUCCAAAAUUAUGUUAAUCAGAAUGAUCUCAUUUAAGCUUCACAACAACCUUGGGAGGUAGGUAUGAUCAUCACCCCAUUUUACUAUUGAGCAAACUGAGGCUCUGAGAGGAUAAUCAACUUCUCUGGUACCUGGCAGAGCGGGACUUGAAGCCAGGUCCGGAGCCCAGCCGACGGGACAGGCCUGGGAAGCACGGAG